rnacentral:rRNA from 1 species
GACGAAGGGUGCUAGCGUUGUUCGGAAUCACUGGGCGUAAAGCGCACGUAGGCGGAUGUGUCAGUCAGGGGUGAAAUCCCGGAGCUCAACUUCGGAACUGCCUUUGAUACAGCACGUCUUGAGUCCGAUAGAGGUGGGUGGAAUUCCUAGUGUAGAGGUGAAAUUCGUAGAUAUUAGGAAGAACACCGGUGGCGAAGGCGGCCCACUGGAUCGGUACUGACGCUGAGAUGCGAAAGCGUGGGGAGCAAACAGG